UACGUAGGGGGGCGAGCGUUGUCCGGAAUCAUUGGGCGUAAAGAGCGUGUAGGCGGACCUGAAGGUCUGGUGUGAAAGCCCGGGGGCUCAACCCCGGAGGGUCACUGGAAACCGCAGGUCUUGAGUCCGGAAGAGGAGAGUGGAAUUCCUGGUGUAGCGGUGGAAUGCGCAGAUAUCAGGAGGAACACCGGUGGCGAAGGCGGGUCUCUGGGCAGUAACUGACGCUGAGGAGCGAAAGCGUGGGGAGCGAACAGG
rnacentral:rRNA from 1 species